AGAUGGAUGUGAGUGAAGCUAGGCGAAGCUAAGCGGAACGAAAUUCAUCUGGCUAGGGUCAGGUUAGGAGUCUCCUGCACUACCCAAGACUCAGAGAAUUCAGCAAGAUGCUUCUGAAUGGUGCACAUGUGGAAAUUGUGCAACAAUGCCUUCAGAGCCUGAGAACUUAUGCUGCCAGGAGGUACCACAGGUUACAAGACGGCUGCAGCAGCUGAAUGAAAGGCCUCCAUGUAUGAUAGACCAUCCAGGCUUAGAACCUGUCUGCCUAAAUGUGUUCUCACGGCAGAAUGCAUGCAACAUUUACAGGGCUGACUACGGUCCUUUACAGUUAUGGGGAAUAGAGCAUCGUUACAGGUAUUUAGCCUACAGAAGUUUUGUGAGCUGGUGCUGGGGCUUCCUUGGUAGAAAGAUAUGGGUAGUGAUCCCCUCAUGUGUCGUGACGGGAGUUUCCUGACGCCCAGGGAAGAUAUGUAGGAUUCAAACUCCCACCC